UUUCCAUUGAUAUUAAUAUUCUCGAAUAGGUUUUUCAUUUAGCUUGUGAAGAGAAGUUAUUUACGGAUUAAUAUUUGAAGUGAUGAAAGAAAAAUAGAAUUGUGAGUAUUACAGACGAGAUUUAGUUUUAGUUUGUGCUGAAAAAAAUAUGGUUGAAACAAAUAAAUGUAACGUGAUAGUAAAAGAUAUUUAAUCCACUUAAGGGAAAUUAAAAAAGGAAUCAUCAAAAAUUUUCAGAUUUCACACUGAGACCUGAAACUAACUUUCUUAUGUUUUAUGAUUAUGAAUUAUUUAUCAUUGCACUGAAUAAGAUAAAUUAUAAACGAAAUUCGAUUCUUUACUCCGUCACUUUAAUACACUUUUCAAUAGUCUGA